GCCUCUGCACUGGGAUUCCUCCAGCCCCAGCAAGUCCCUCAGGUGGUCCCAGCCUCUGUGUCCGCCUCUGCUCUCCCAGAGCGCCUCAGGCAGAGCAGCCAGGAUGGGGACCAGGCCCGCCUUACCGGGAAUGAGCCUGUCACCUGCUCCUCCCACCCCGCAGCAGAAAGGCCCAUCUGCCGACAAGACCACUGCCACCCUCUGCCACCCUCCACCACCCUCCGCCAGGUCACCAGAAUGCCAGGCCUCACUCAUGAUCAGCUGAGCACCAGCAGGCAGGUGAGAAGAGCCUCCAGUGUGGAGCAGGUCAACCAGCAACAGAGCCAGGGAGACCCAUGGAGUCCAGAGAAAACGGUAACAACGGCAGCAGCACCCAGAGACUGGCUCCCAGUGAGUUAAGCCCAGCCGCGACCCUUGGAUGUGCCAGCUGAUUUAAUACUCAUGAUAAACCCAGUAGGUCAGUGCCAGUAUUAUGAGAGAAGUGAGGCACAGAAUGUCACAUCCACCUCCCCAAAGUCAACAGCUAGGAGUGACAGAGCCAGGAUUCUGCCAGGCAGGUUGGCCUCAGAGGCCACACUUCUUAUCCCAAUAAUAAAAGUGAACAAGAACAGGAUGAAGUUAGAGUGAGAGAGCGAGAGUGGUAACACUCAUGCAAUCAGAGAACAAGAGAAAGCUCAAUGGAAACAUGUAUUCACUGACAGGAUUAAAACACAAAACAACAAAAAGAGAGACGGCCAGGCGCGGUGGCUCACGCCUGUAAUCCCAGCACUUUGGGAGGCCAAGGCAGGCAGAUCCCCUGAGCUCAGGAGUUUGAGACCAGCCUGGGCAACAUGGUGAAACCCUGACUCUACUAAAAAUACAAAAAUUAGCUGGGCAUGGUGGGGCAUGCUUGUACUCGGGAGGCUGAGGUGGGAGGAUCACUUGAACCCGGGAGGCAGAGGUUGCAGUGAGUCCAGAUCGCACCACUGCACUCUAGCCUAGGUGAUAGAGUGAGAUCCUAUCUAAAAAAAAAAAAAAAAAAAAAUAGAAGGCAGGAAGGAAAUAUCAGAAAAAUGCAGAAUUGAUCCAGGAGGUCCAAGUUCCAAAAGGAGUCAGAAAGAGAAAGGAGAGAAAAAGGUGGGGGAUCAAUGAUCAAAGAACUAAACUGAGACCAGCGCCCAGAAUGACAAGGCACAGGCCAGACAGCAAGGCUCACCCAAGUCCAGCACAAUGCAAGUGACACGUGUGCAUCACUGUGGAAUUGUAGACCACUGGUGCCAAGGAGUGCCCCAAAAAACUUCCAGAGGGGGAAAAAAUAGUCACAUAUGUCUCUCUCUCUCUUUUUUUUUUAAGGAUAAAGGGAAUUCUUUUUUUUUUUUUUGAGUCAGGGUCUUGCUGUGUUGCCCAGGCUGCAGUGCAGUGGUGUCAUCAUAGCUCACUGCAGCCUCUAACUCCUGGGCUCAAGCGAUCCUCCAACCUCAGCCUCCUGGGUAGCUGGGACUACAAGCAAGCACCACCAUGCCCAGUUAAUUUUUUAAUUUUUUUUGUAUGGAUGGGGGUCUCACUAUGUUGCCCAGGCUGCAGCAGGUUGGUCUCAAACUCCCGGACCCAAGUGAUACUCCCACCUGGGCCUCCAAAAGAGCUGGGAAUACAGGCCUGAGCCAUCAUGCCCAGCCACAUACUGUCUCAUAAAAAGGCAAAGCAACCCCCAAAUGCAGAAGGAGCUGAGAAACCAAAGGAGGAGGCAGACAAAUUCAGCUUGUUGUUAAAGUGUGUUUUAUGGGGGAUCUUAUGAACAGAAGAGUGGUCUUGGACAGCCACAAGACAUAUAGAUCUCCACACCAUAAUUCCCCAGACCCAGAGGUUAUAUACCAUAGGGAAAGGGUACAUGUGCUUCAGAGGGAAUGGGGAGGAAUUUGAUCUAAAGGCAGGACUUACAGUAUAUGCUCUUAUGCAAGAAACAACAGAUAAACUGAAAAUCUCAGAGGCAUUCCUGGAACCAGUGUUAGUCAGAAGUCAGCAUGGUGGAUUAGCUUCCAUGGUAUGUUACUUUAGCCUCCACACAUACCAAGGAUUAGUAGUAAAGAUGGAACUGGACUUCCAGUAACCACACAGAAGCUCAAAGACAGAGUACCUUACAGAUGCUGAGGAAAAGAGACUCCCAACAGCAAAUUCUAUACCCAGCCAAACUAUCUGUCUAGUGUGAGGAAAUACUAAUGACACUGUUAGAUUUGUUAAAUCUCAAAACACUUAUCUCCCAUGCAUCUCUUCUGAAGAAGUAUCUGAAGGAUGCUCCCCUACAAGGAGAAGUCAACCAAGAAAGAGAAGGGGGUGCCAACACAGGUGAGGCAGGAGGGGCCAGCAGGCCUGGAGAGCAGCCAGUCCAGCUGUGGCAGGAAACUGGUUGGCUCCUGCUGAAAGGUAUCCAGGGAAAAUGGCCUUCCUAGAUUACACAAUGCAAGUUUCUGUGUGGAAGCCAUGUCACGAGAGAUUUCUAAAAUGAUUAGAGCAUUUAGGAAGAAUUUGUUGUUGACACAUAGAAAACCAAACAAAGGAAAACCAGGAGGCAAUUUUUAACUCCAGGAAAAACAAAGAAGUUGCUCAGGAAAGAGCAUUUAAUUAUAGUAUAUAACGUUGUUCAGGCAAGAACAAUUCUUAUGUAGUCAUGAUAAUUUAAAUAUGGAAUAUUUUUAAGCUAAAAGUAUUGUGGGGUUUUGUUGUUGUUGUUGUUUUGUUGUUGAGACGGAGUCUCACUCUGUCGCCCAGGCUGGAGUGCAGUGGUGUGAUCUCAGCUCACUGCAAGCUCCACCUCCUGGGUUCACGCCAUUCUCCUGCCUCAGCCUCCUGAGUAGCUGGGACUACAGGCGCAAGCCACCACGCCCGGCUAAUUUUUUGUAUUUUUAGUAGAGACGGGGUUUCACCAUUUUAGCCAGGAUGGUCUCGAUCUCCUGACCUCGUGAUCUGCCCGCCUCAGCCUUUUUUGUUGUUGUUGUUGUUUUUUGGAGACAAGGUCUCACUCUGUCACCCAGGCUGGAGUGCAGUGGUGUGAUCACAGCUCACUGCAUCCUAGACCUCCCAGGCUCAGGCAAUCCUCCCACCUCAGCCUCAUUUGUAGCUGGGACUACAGGUGCAUGCCACCAUGCCCAGCUAAUUUUUUGUAGUUUUGGUAGAAAUGGGGUUUCAUCACAUGGCCCAGGCUAGUCUUAAACUCCUGGGCUCCAGCAAUCUGCUUGCCUUGGCCUCCCAAAGUGCUGGGAUUACAGGCAUGAGCUGCUGCACCCGGCCUAAACUAAAAAUGUUCACAUAGUAUAUAGGGAGGAUGUGGGGCGGGGAAGAGCAAAUGUGUAAUGGAGUGAAAUCCUAAACAAUGCCUAAAAUUAAUAAAUCAAGAAAUAGUAAUAUAAACAUUUUAUUUAGAGAUUUGGAGGUGUACUAGUCUGUUCUCGCACUGUAAUAAAUUACCAAGACUGGGUAAUUUAUAAAGAAAAAGAGGUUUAAUGGACUCACAGUUCCACAUGGCUGGGGAGGCCUCAUAAUCAUGGCGGAAAGUGAAGGAGGAGCAAAGGCGCGUCUUACAUGGUGGCAGGCAAGAGAGCGUGUGCAGGAGAACCGCCUUUUAUAAAACCAUCAGAUCUUGAGAGACUUAUUCACUAUCACGAGAACAGCACAGGAAAAACUCACCCCCAUGAUUCAAUUACCUCCCACUGGGUCCCUCCCAUGACACAUGGGGAUUAUGGGAGCUGCAAUUCAAGAUGAAUUAGGGUGGGGACACAGCCGAAACAUAUCAGGAGGUUCCUGGAAGAAACAGAGUUGAAAGCAGUUAUCUUGCUGAGUGGGGGACUCAGGGCAUGGGCAGGAGACUGCUGAGUUUUGUUUUACGUCUUACUACAUUUGAUUUAUAAAAGACAGAUGUGCAUAUAUCACUUCAAAAAAACAAAAGUGGAUGUGGCUGAUGCCAAAGUGACCUGCCCCAGAAGAGCUGCUAACAGAACAGCAUCCCAGGAGGCUGCAGAAGGCUGAAGAGCAGAGCCCACACCUGCUAUGGGCCACAAGAGGCCCUGGAUGCCAUGGAGGCCGCAAGGGCCCAGGCGGGACUUGCAGAAUGAGAGUCCUAGGCCCAAGUAUAGAGUCCCUGGUGGGCACAGAGGAGAGACCAGGUCAGUGGGAGGGGUUGUCAGACCCUGUGGAGUGCCCCACCUGUGUGCCAGGCCCAGAACUGGGCUCAACUCUGAUGGUAGCAGGUGGAAAGUAGACUUCACUACUGUGGGAGUGGGGGCAUUCCUGGACACAGGGGGAAACCAGCUCACAGAACAGCCUGGGGUCUUCUUGGAGGAGGCCAUUUUGGCCCAGAUCCUAAAGGAAGACUGGAAGCCUCAGGGGGCAGUGAGAACAGGGACAAGAGAGGGCAGGUCUCAGGACUGACUGAGCAACUCAGACUGACCUGGAUCAAACUGUGGAGCCGGCGAAGGGUUUAGAGGGUUGCUGCAGGACAGUGGUGUCUGCAAAGACGCCUCUGGCUGCUGUCUGGAAAAUAGACAGGGGAGGCUGGGCAGGGGUCUGGGCAGGGGCUGGACAGGGGUGCUGGGCAGGGGCUGGACAGGGGUGCUGGGCAGGGGCUGGACAGGGGUGCUGGGCAGGGGCUGGACAGGGGUGCUGGGCAGGGUCAGUCCAUCUCCAUCCUGCUUUCCUUUUCUUUCUUUUCAACAAAUAUUGAUGGAGCACCUCCUCGGUGCCAGGCGCUGCUGCAGCCUCUAGGAAAUCAACCGUGGAAACACACGGACCCUGCCCUCCCGGCGCCAGUGUUCUGGUGGUCAGGAGGUGAAGAAAACCAGCAAGAACCAGCACAGGAAUCCGACGGUGGCAGCGCCGAGAGAAACAAGCUUGGAGGGGAAGGAGAGCUACAGAGGCUGCAUGGAUGUGAUGGUUGGAGUGGAAGCUGACAUUGUGGGCCAGGAGACCCUGGGAGUACAGGCCAAGAUGAAAAGAGCCUCAAUCCAGAGCGUUCUGUGAAGCAGUCACCACGGCCACCCUGGGCCAUCAGCUUCUGGACUUUUACAACAUAGAAAUUAAAUUUCCAUUGAAUUUGUUGGAGUCAUUGUUCCUUCAGCUCUCUGUUACCUGCACUUACAUCUCUCUGUGAGUCGCGGAGUCUUGCAGUUAAGGUAUUAAUAUUAUUGCGUCUCAAGGUGCCUCAGGUCAGAGGUUCCAAAGGUGAAUGAGGGCACAGCUCUCCGUCUGAGACUCACGGUGGAGAAGCCUCCUCACCUUGCUCCUUCUCCCUGUCACCAAGAAAGGAGGUCUGGGGGAAGGAAGGGGUCCGUGUGGCCCUCCCGCCCCCACACUGUCCCUCUUGGAUUCUGCUAGCCUGUGGGUGUGGGCAGCAGCUCAGCCUGGCCCUGGAAUUUUCCAUAAAG
rnacentral:lncRNA from 1 species